rnacentral:rRNA from 1 species
AGUGAACGCUGGCGGUAGGCCUAACACAUGCAAGUCGAACGGCAGCACAGUAAGAGCUUGCUCUUACGGGUGGCGAGUGGCGGACGGGUGAGGAAUACAUCGGAAUCUACUUUUUCGUGGGGGAUAACGUAGGGAAACUUACGCUAAUACCGCAUACGACCUACGGGUGAAAGCAGGGGAUCUUCGGACCUUGCGCGAUUGAAUGAGCCGAUGUCGGAUUAGCUAGUUGGCGGGGUAAAGGCCCACCAAGGCGACGAUCCGUAGCUGGUCUGAGAGGAUGAUAAGCCACACUGGAACUGAGACACGGCCCAGACUCCUACGGGAGGCAGCAGUGGGGAAUAUUGGACAAUGGGCGCAAGCCUGAUCCAGCCAUACCGCGUGGGUGAAGAAGGCCUUCGGGUUGUAAAGCCCUUUUGUUGGGAAAGAAAAGCAGCAGGUUAAUACCCCGCUGUUCUGACGGUACCCAAAGAAUAAGCACCGGCUAACUUCGUG